GACGAACGCUGGCGGCGUGCUUAACACAUGCAAGUCGAACGGCAAGGCCCUGCUUUUGUGGGGUGCUCGAGUGGCGAACGGGUGAGUAACACGUGAGUAACCUGCCCUUGACUUUGGGAUAACUUCAGGAAACUGGGGCUAAUACCGGAUAGGAGCUCCUGCUGCAUGGUGGGGGUUGGAAAGUUUCGGCGGUUGGGGAUGGACUCGCGGCUUAUCAGCUUGUUGGUGGGGUAGUGGCUUACCAAGGCUUUGACGGGUAGCCGGCCUGAGAGGGUGACCGGCCACAUUGGGACUGCGAUACGGCGCAGACUCGUACGGGAGACAACAGUGGGGAAUAUUGCACAAUGGGCGGAAGCGUGAGGCAGCAACGCCGCGUGCGUGAUGACGGCCUUCGGGUUGUAAACCGCUUUCGCCUGUGACGAAGCGUGAGUGACGGUAAUGGGUAAAGAAGCACCGGCUAACUACGUG
rnacentral:rRNA from 1 species